rnacentral:lncRNA from 1 species
GGUGUUCACAGGAUCAUUAUCAUGUUAGUAUUAUUACUACUUUCCUAAAAUCUUGCCAAAGAUGAUUAAAUGUCUUUUUGGGCCAUAAGCCCAUUUUGACAUAAUUUGGAUAAGCAUCUUACGACGGGACACGAUGCUUGGGACCUAACCUUGCUAGGUUUGAAUGAUAUGAUGCAAAUAAGCAUGACCUAAAGGCUGACCUAAGGUUGAGUUUCACUAGACAAGGAGCGGCACGUGGUCGAUGGCCGCUGCUCUAGCUGUCCGCCCACUCUGCGCUCCACGCCACCUUCCAAAAGACACGAGUGACUCACAAAAAGUUCAUGUACUCUCAAAUGUACUCUGAAAGACUUGUUGUAGAAAGAAGAUAUAUGGUUAUGUAGAUGAUGACAAUUAUAAAUCAGUAAACACAUAAGGACAAAUGAUUUAAAAAAUAAACAGCAAAACAACAAAUAAGACAACAACAACAACAACCCAUUAUAUUCCCACAAGUGGGGUCCGGGGAGGUUAAUAUGUACGCAAACCUUACCUCUACCCCGAGGGCAGAGAGACUGUUUCCAGAAGACCCUCGGCUCAGAAAGGGAACAAGUGAUAGAAACAAGUUACGAUAUAUUAGUACUAGCAAUAAACUCAUAAUAAAUACCAUAAAAUACACAGCAUAACAUAAAAUAACAAAGUAAUAACAAUAUAAAGAAUAUAGGAAAUACGAGAAAGAGGUGAGUAUACUAAUCUAUUUAAUAUAGAAUAGGAGAGGCAAAGAACUAUUAUGAUGACAAGUGGCAUAAUAUUAAAUUGACACAAAUAACAAAAUAACAACAAUAUAAGGAAUAUAGGAAAUACGAGAAAGAGGAAUACACUAAUAUCUAGAAUAUAAAGCCCAGCAUUCAUAGCGGAUCAGUAGCAUCCUAAGCCUAACUCCUAACUAUCUAGUCUCACUCUAGCGCGCUGUGAAAUAUUUCCAACUUCCCUCUAACCUACAAUCUUAAUGCUCGACCUCCACAAUCCCCUGUCAAGGGGCAUGUCCUCAAUAAUUCUAAGCCGCGUUAUGUUCUACAACUCCCUAGCAGUAUCGCCAGAGCUGUCACACCCCUAUUUAACCAACUUCACUAACCCCUCUUAAAAUAAUAAAAGAGAUUGUAAAGCUCAAAAGGGGUUUUAAUUAAAAAGUGACAAAAUUGUGUUCAAAAGGAAAUAAUGUAGUGUCGCCAUUAGACAAUUGAUUUCGGUGUGCCAGGUCACCUUUUUUUUAAAAAUAAUUUUUCCAUUUAAAAAAAUUUAGACUCUAAAACCAAUUCCGCAUCGGAGAUUCGGGUAAGGGGGUUUAUUUUCAACGGGGAGAAGGUGUUAGGCACUCCCCAAGUCGCGUAACUAGUACGGUUACCUACUUUAUCUGGUCGUCUUUUAGAAUAUUCGAAUUGAGGUAGUAUCACACAAAAAGAAAAUAAACAAUAAAAAGAGGCUCGAGGUCGUCCCCACUUAAAUGAAAGAAAAUUAAAAGAAGAAAAAUUAGAGUUCUAAAUUAUCUUACGCUACUUCUUCGACGAUGUUCACCACAACCUCCAAUUACAUUCACUUCGGGGCAUACCCCUGAAAUAAAAUGUAUACAAAUCCUUCGGGGCAUUCUCCAGAUAAAUUUAGAUAAGAGGAUGACCUCUCCCCUCAAAAGCUAACAAAAAUCCUAAGGCUGGCCUACCCAAGUGUGGUCGGCCUAAGCAUGCUACUAUCAAUCAAAAUAAUAAAGUAAUGACAAAAACAAUGAAAUAUUUGAAGUUUGGAAUUUUGUCCACUUAAGUAAUAUUCCCACUCCAAGAACACAUCUUUGCAAAGAAAACCAAUUUCAAGUUAAAAUCAGUGAUUCUCGCUUAAGAUGUUAACAACUUAAAUCUACGUUUUAAGGCUAGAAAUACAUAAACUAAAUGUUGAACUAGAAAAAUGGAAGCAAUUUCAGUCAAGAACGAAAAUUAAUAGGCAACCAAAUCAAGAUUCAACUCAUAACAUCAGAGGAAGUAGAUCUUAAGAUUGAAGAGCAAAUAAAGUUUAGAAUUGUACCUCGAAUGUGAAGCCAAAGUCCCUACUUUGUUACGACCAAAAUUAAUCCCGCAAAGAAACAACAUUUAAUCAGAGUAUUGAAAAGGCAAAACAGGGACGAUGAGCCCAGAAUUGAAGCCACAAUCAGUGAUCCAUGACCGGAAACCUCGACGUGCGACUGAACAAAGAUCCCCUCUAAUUCGCAGAUGAAUAUGAAGUGAAAACACGUACACUAAGCUAUAGCUAAAAACAGGAUAAUCAUUUACUCACAACUUCCGUUUUUACAUUAAUAUAUAGCAUAAGGAAUCAAAAAGAGCUAACCCAUCUGUUCUGAUGGAAGAAAAUAAGUAUAGAAGGGAGAUAGAGGAAAGUGGUGUAGAUGGUUUUGAUGGCGGAGUCGGAGAUCUGGUCGCUGGUGUUCGUGGUUUGGCUGAAGCUUGAGAUUAGUGGUUGAGAAGUGAAGAGAUGAGGGGGAAGGCGGCGGAGAUGGAAUAGUCGUCAUCAAUUUUAGGAGGUGACUGCUAAAGGGUAGUCGUUGGAAGGGCUGGAGUUGCGGCUGAAGAGCUGGUGGAGUUGGUGGUCAGCGACUGUAGGGUGUGUGGCUGGAGAUGUUGAGCGAAAGGAGUUCGACAGCUGGAGUGUUAGGAGAUGAGGGAUGGGCGGCGACUGCUCUAGGUCUUUAUCUGUUUUUUUUUUCUUUAUUUUAGUGUGUAUAUGAGGAAGAAGAAAGGUUAGGGUAUAAGAGUUAAUCGGGACAAGAAGAUUGAGCUU